rnacentral:rRNA from 1 species
ACUAUCGUUAACUGAAUACAUAGGUUAACGAGGCGAACCGGGGGAACUGAAACAUCUAAGUACCCCGAGGAAAAGAAAUCAACCGAGAUUCCCCCAGUAGCGGCGAGCGAACGGGGAGCAGCCCAGAGUCUGAAUCAGCUUGUGUGUUAGUGGAACGGUCUGGAAAGUCCGACGGUACAGGGUGAUAGUCCCGUACACCAAAAUGCACAGGCUGUGAACUCGAAGAGUAGGGCGGGACACGUGGUAUCCUGUCUGAAUAUGGGGGGACCAUCCUCCAAGGCUAAAUACUCCUGACUGACCGAUAGUGAACCAGUACCGUGAGGGAAAGGCGAAAAGAACCCCGGCGAGGGGAGUGAAAAAGAACCUGAAACCGUGUACGUACAAGCAGUGGGAGCACCUUCGGGUGUGACUGCGUACCUUUUGUAUAAUGGGUCAGCGACUUAUAUUCUGUAGCAAGGUUAACCGUAUAGGGGAGCCGCAGGGAAACCGAGUCUUAACUGGGCGUUAAGUUGCAGGGUAUAGACCCGAAACCCGGUGAUCUAGCCAUGGGCAGGUUGAAGGUUGGGUAACACUAACUGGAGGACCGAACCGACUAAUGUUGAAAAAUUAGCGGAUGACUUGUGGCUGGGGGUGAAAGGCCAAUCAAACCGGGAGAUAGCUGGUUCUCCCCGAAAGCUAUUUAGGUAGCGCCUCGUGA